AGCGAACGCUGGCGGCAGGCUUAACACAUGCAAGUCGAGCGGGCCUUUCGGGGUCAGCGGCGGACGGGUGAGUAACGCGUGGGAACGUGCCCUCUGGUUCGGAAUAACUCAGGGAAACUUGAGCUAAUACCGGAUACGCCCUUUUGGGGAAAGGCUUGCUGCCGGAGGAUCGGUCCGCGUCUGAUUAGCUAGUUGGUGAGGUAACGGCUCACCAAGGCGACGAUCAGUAGCUGGUCUGAGAGGAUGAUCAGCCACACUGGGACUGAGACACGGCCCAGACUCCUACGGGAGGCAGCAGUGGGGAAUAUUGGACAAUGGGCGCAAGCCUGAUCCAGCCAUGCCGCGUGAGUGAUGAAGGCCUUAGGGUUGUAAAGCUCUUUUAUCCGGGACGAUAAUGACGGUACCGGAGGAAUAAGCCCCGGCUAACUUCGUG
rnacentral:rRNA from 1 species